rnacentral:siRNA from 1 species
CGCCGAUCGAUUCGGGGCGUG